rnacentral:rRNA from 1 species
UAGGGAAUCUUCCACAAUGGACGAAAGUCUGAUGGAGCAACGCCGCGUGAGUGAAGAAGGGUUUCGGCUCGUAAAACUCUGUUGUUAAGAAGAACAUAUCUGAGAGUAACUGUUCAGGUAUUGACGGUAUUUAACCAGAAAGCCACGGCUAACUACGUACCAG